rnacentral:piRNA from 1 species
UAACCCAUGGUUUCUGCAGACAGGUACUCU